rnacentral:rRNA from 1 species
GACAGAGGUCCCAAGCGUUAGGCGGAAUCACUGGGCUUAAAGCGUGUGUAGGCGGAUGCCUAAGUACCUUGUGAAAUCCCACGGCUCACCCGUGGAACUGCUUGGUAUACUGGGUGUCUUGAGCCACUUAGGGGCUACCGGAACAAAUGGUGGAGCGGUGAAAUGCGUAGAUAUCAGGAGGAACACCGAUGGCGAAGGCGGCAACCUGGCUCGUAACUGACGCUCAUACACGACAGCAUGGGGAGCGAACGGG